UGAGCUGUUGAGGAGACGCCAUGUCUAGGAGACACUGCUUUUUUUAAGUGUGACCUCAAAUUAACCUUGUUUGGACUGCCAAAGGAAGAAGGGACGAAGAAUAAGUGGUUGGAAUUUAUUUUUCGAUACAUUCAUCAGCAAUACAACCCAGACAUUUUACUGUGUUCCCUCUAUUUUCCUAAGGACUGCUUCACAAACUGCAAACAGAUUACUGCUGGAUUUUCACAGCAGUUACUCUUGAAAGAUGGGGCAGUUCCCACUUUGUUGGCAAAUCUGGAGAUUCAGGAUCACAACCUAGUACAUCCAGCAGGGCCCUGGUGCCCAACACCUCUCCACUCCAUCCAGAUUCCAGGAUGUAGGCUGCCAAACAGACCCUCACAAACCGUCUCAGUGGGCACACAGUCUGUGGCAUCUCAAAAGAUGGUAUCCAUCAGCACACAGCUGUACAGGGCUACUCUUAGAGAGCAGCCAGAGAAGCAAAGUAUUUUACAGACUGUAGAUGACCUGAUGAGACUCGUCUUUGUGGAGGUGUUUGAGAACCCAGUGCCAUUUGCUGAGGAGAUACAAAAAAUCCCCAUGCCAAAGGACCUGGCAUCCCAGUAU